GAAGCAACGCGAAGAACCUUACCAGGUCUUGACUAUCCCGAUGUCUACUUCUUAGAGAUAGAAAGUUACUUCGGUACAUCGGUGACAGGUGGUGCAUGGUUGUCGUCAGCUCGUGUCGUGAGAUGUUGGGUUAAGUCCCGCAACGAGCGCAACCCCUAUUGUUAGUUGCCAUCAUUCAGUUGGGCACUCUAGCGAGACUGCCGGUAAUAAACCGGAGGAAGUGGGAUGACGUCAAAUCAUCAUGCCCCUUAUGACCUGGGCUACACACGUGCUACAAUGGUUGGUACAACGAGUUGCGAGUCGGUGACGGCGAGCUAAUCUCUUAAAGCCAAUCUCAGUUCGGAUUGUAGGCUGCAACUCGCCUACAUGAAGUCGGAAUCGCUAGUAAUCGCGGAUCAGCACGCCGCGGUGAAUACGUUCCCGGGCCUU
rnacentral:rRNA from 1 species